AUUGAACGCUGGCGGCAGGCUUAACACAUGCAAGUCGAGCGGGGGAGGUUGCUUCGGUAACUGACCUAGCGGCGGACGGGUGAGUAAUGCUUAGGAAUCUGCCUAUUAGUGGGGGACAACAUUCCGAAAGGGAUGCUAAUACCGCAUACGCCCUACGGGGGAAAGCAGGGGAUCUUCGGACCUUGCGCUAAUAGAUGAGCCUAAGUCGGAUUAGCGAGUUGGUGGGGUAAAGGCCUACCAAGGCGACGAUCUGUAGCGGGGCUGAGAGGAUGAUCCGCCACACUGGGACUGAGACACGGCCCAGACUCCUACGGGAGGCAGCAGUGGGGAAUAUUGGACAAUGGGCGGAAGCCUGAUCCAGCCAUGCCGCGUGUGUGAAGAAGGCCUUUUGGUUGUAAAGCACUUUAAGCGAGGAGGAGGCUCUUAAGGUUAAUACCCUUGAUGAGUGGACGUUACUCGCAGAAUAAGCACCGGCUAACUCUGUGCCAGCAGCCGCCGUAAAAC
rnacentral:rRNA from 1 species